rnacentral:rRNA from 1 species
AUUGAACGCUGGCGGCAGGCCUAACACAUGCAAGUCGAACGAGUGGCGGACGGGUGAGUAAUGUCUGGGAAACUGCCUGAUGGAGGGGGAUAACUAGUGGAAACGGUAGCUAAUACCGCAUACCAUCAGAUGUGCCGAGAUGGGAUUAUGUUGUUGGUGGGGUAACGGCGCACCAAGGCGACGAUCCCUAGCUGGUCUGAGAGGAUGAUCGGCCACACUGGAACUGAGACACGGUCCAGACUCCUACGGGAGGCAGCAGUGGGGAAUAUUGCACAAUGGGCGCAAGCCUGAUGGAGCCACGCCGCGUGUAUGAAGAAGGUCUUCGGGUUGUAAAGUACUUUCAGCAGGGAGGCGGUAUCCACAGAAGAAGCACCGGCUAACUCCGUGCCAGCAGCCGCGGUAAUAC